GUCAAUUUAAUGUGGGCGGACAUUUUGAAAUUAGGCACUUCUCGGAUAUCAUAAUGGAGUGAGUAGGCCGCUUAGUUUUUGUUUGAACGCCACAGUUUGAGCUCGCUGCGAGGAGUUUUUGGAACGGCCCGGCCUCAGCGUGUCGGCGGCCAUGUUGGUUAGCCCCGCUGAAACACCUGCGAAGGAGAAACGGCGCGAAGCAUUAGCAUCAGAUGAGGAUGGAUUUGAGGGGAAAAUGGCGCCGAAAAGAAAAUGGGGAGAAGAGGAAAGUCACUUCAAUCAAGCGGAAAUCUGUUGACGUCAUCAUCCAAAGGACUCAAACCCAUCUGGAGUGAAAACCUGCCUCUGCUGGAGGUCAAAGGUGCUGCGAUCCAGUAACCCAGGUGAGGGGCGGUGAAGGUCCACAUCAGUUUCCCAUCUACCAGCGCCAUCUUUCCCAGUCCUUUCCUCAUCCAUCCACCUGCGGCGAAAUAAAUCACCAUGAAACCAGUUAGCAUGCAGCUGGUCCGGUAGAUGGACGGACGGGUGACGCAUCAGAACUGACCAGUAGUUCUGCUGAAGAACCAGGCCGGAACAACGUCGGACUCCUGGAGCCCUCGGCUCUCGGGAACGUUGAGGCUGAUGUGGAUCGGGCCGCUGACGUUCAGCUCCACGUCUCCGGAGAAAAGCCGCACACUGACGGCCGCCACCGGACUCAGCUCCACGCUCACGAACCCUGAGAACAUCACAACCGAAGUCAGGAUGACGGAUUCCUACGACGACGUCACAUCAAAACGGCGGCAGGCGGCUGAUGAUGACUCGGGUCUAAAACUGGAUCUCUGCAGCUGGCAAUCGUUUCUAAAUAGCCCAGCUGGUCCGGCGGCGACAGGCGGCCUGGAGAGACACGACUUCCUGUUAACGAGGGCGGCCCGGACACGGAGGGCGGUACGGGUCCAGAACCCUCACUGAGUUCCUGCAUGGAGAGGAGACGUUACAGGAUGUUACAUCAGGAUGAGUCCUCCGUAGAUGAACGUUGAAGCAUUUCUGGAGUCAACGUGAACAUUUGAACUUCUGCAGCCAAACAAGCAGCAGGUGAGGCGACCAGAAUCACGUUAUUUUCAUUUCCAGAUUUUCUUUACAACGUGAUAAAAUUAACAGUUCAGAUCCAAACAUCUGGUCAUCGCUGCCGCUACAACAAAUAAAUCCUUCCUUUGCAUAGACUCCAAAUCAUAUUUCUGUUUAAAUAAACAUAUUUCCACUUUAUGGAAAGAAAACUGCAGCUAAAAACGCGUAAAUCUUUACAAGGACACCGAAUAUUGGCAGUAAAAAAUAAAAAAUGGAGUAUCAGGUAGAUAAAGUGUAGCAGCUGUAAAAGAACCAUAAUGUCCUCCUGUUGUCCAGAUCAGCAGCUGUUUGCUUGUAAUUUAUGUACCAAGUCCAACAUAUUAGAUCUGCAGGAAUCAAGCAGGUUCAAACAGUUGGAAACGUCCAAGGCUGUGGAGAGCGUUCGAUACAUUAUCACACAUUAAAGAUUAAAAAGUCAAAGUUUAGGAUUUACUCUAAAUCCAACGACGGGCUCCAGAAAUCUCAAUGAUUUCAAAGUGCAUUAAAAAGAAUAAAAAAUCUGGAAACCUUUUGUUUUGUAAAUAAUCUGUUGUCUCCAUAAGGAGCAUCAUUUCUAAAAGCUCUCCAGUUUAUUUGAAGCUUUGCUGUUUUAUGCUAGCGUCUGGAGCAGCUUCAUAAAUUAGCGCGUAGCUCGUAAAAUCGUCUUCACCUUGACUUGGGGACAUCUGCUGCAUAAAUCAGCCGCAGCAAAGCGACCAGGAGACUCCGGCCUUCCCCUCCACUUUCACGAUUCAAUCACAUCAAAGCAUCAUCAGAAAUCUGUUCAGUAAAAACACAUCAGAACUAAUGAGAAGGUUUAACAGGCCUGCCUUAUUUUGUGCUUUUCUUCUCCAGCUGGCAUAGAGGUUUUGUUGAACUUGGUUUAGAAAUAACAGAUGAGUUCUCAUAUUUCAGAAUAAGAGCUGAUAAAUAUCAAAAAAUGUUUGUUCAUCUUUCUGAGUUAUCUAAAACAAAGCAAUCUAUUUUAUUCACAAUAAAUUCCCCAAAUCAUUUGCUGUACUGUGUUUGAGUUUCCUUCUGGAACCUUCAGCAUUUAUUUCAGCUCUUACUUUUUCAUGAAGGUUGUAAUCAGAUUAUUUAAUCUUCCUGACAUGUUGCUCCUCAUCAUCUCUGACCUGCAAAAGAUUUCUCACUUAAAAGCAACAAUAAAGUGCCAUGAAGUCGUAUCGAUGGCAAACACAACACUCAAAAUUUACAAAAUAUGUAAAUAAAAAUCAACUUUUAUAAUGUUCAAUAAUUAUUACCCUUUGUUUAGCAUAAGUGUUAAACCUUCUGAUACCUUCUGAUUUUAGUUAGCCAUGCUGUGCUAGCUUGAUGAGCUAAGCAGCUUGAUAAAUUUGACUGGCAGCCAAUCUGAAAGUUUACAUAAUAGUUUCAAAAUGGAUUUUAUUUUACUGUGAAAAUUGGUUAAAAUGUUCAGAUUAAGGAAUGUAUUAGAAUGAAACAUUAACCCUGGCAGAUAAAGUGUUAAUCUGAGUUUAACGGUGAUUACAUCCCAUAACAAAAGUUAAACUCUCCACACCUGCAGCUGUAGCAGUUAGACUGUGAGCACAGAGAAAUAAUAUCUGGAGCUUCUGUUUCUGGAGUCGACAGCCAGACCAUGAAGGAGACUGGAGGAUCUAUUUUCUAAAGUUUUUUUGUGUUUUUUAAUAAAAUACUAGUUUUUUCCUAACUUGUUCCACCUGCAUAUUUUCCUACACAAAUUAGCAUUAGCUAAUUUCUGCAAAGUCUGUUUUUACAUCCAUGUUGAAAUGAUGCACAAGUAAAAGGUAAAAUUACAGGCUCACUAAUAUAAAUGAUCAAACUUGUUUUAGGGUUAGCACAACUAACGUUUUAGUUAGCGGCACCCACUGCCCCAAAUGGUUAAAUUUAGCACAUUAGCUACUGAUAAACACCAUGUUGGAUGAUUGUUUUAGCAUUAGUUUAGCUAAUGUUUUA